rnacentral:rRNA from 1 species
UACGUAGGGCGCAAGCGUUAUCCGGAAUUAUUGGGCGUAAAGAGCUCGUAGGCGGUUUGUCGCGUCUGCCGUGAAAGUCCGGGGCUCAACUCCGGAUCUGCGGUGGGUACGGGCAGACUAGAGUGAUGUAGGGGGAGACUGGAAUUCCUGGUGUAGCGGUGAAAUGCGGCAGAUAUCAGGAGGAACACCGAUGGCGAAGGCAGGUCUCUGGGCAUUAACUGACGCUGAGGAGCGAAAGCAUGGGGAGCGAACAGG